CUACGGGAGGCUCCAGUGAGGAAUAUUGCACAAUGGGGGGAACCCUGAUGCAGCAACGCCGCGUGGAGGAUGACGCAUUUCGGUGUGUAAACUCCUUUUAUAUGUCAAGAAAAUGACGGUAGCAUAUGAAUAAGCACCGGCUAACUCCGUGCCAGCAGCCGCGGUAAUACGGAGGGUGCAAGCGUUACUCGGAAUCACUGGGCGUAAAGUGCGCGUAGGCGGGUUGGAAAGUCAGGUGUGAAAUCCUACAGCUUAACUGUAGAACUGCACUUGAAACUUCUAAUCUAGAGUAUGGGAGGGGGAGAUGGAAUUAGUGGUGUAGGGGUAAAAUCCGUAGAUAUCACUAGGAAUACCUAAAGCGAAGGUGAUCUCCUGGAACAUUACUGACGCUAAGGCGUGAAAGCGUGGGGAGCAAACAGGAUUAGAUACCCGUGUAGUC
rnacentral:rRNA from 1 species